CCCUUAGAGCAAAAGGGGUAAUCAUACUACCUGAUGUAUGGACUUUUACACCAGGCUUUUAUCCUGCACGAGCUGGCCAACUUGAGGGGAACAGAAGUGGGCAAACCUUGCCCUGUCCUUGAACAAGAAAGCUGGAUUUGUUGAGAGAGUAUCAUUUAAGCUGAAAUCCAGCAUGAAACCAGGGAGGUGAUGGCCACUGCACAGGCCAUGUGCCGACUUUUCACUUUCCACCAGCUUGUGACUUGCACCAUGAAGGGAGCAACAACUACAACUGGGUCACCAAGACCAAGCCUCCCCGCUGCUGAGAGAAAUGCAAUCAUUGAUGUCAUAGCCAAAACCUUUGACAAGCCUCUGGUGGAUGUUGAAGAAAAGAUGAGAGGUUGUUUAAGGCAUCUGCGGCUGAUGCACAAGUAGACUGUAGAUUGAAGUCUUUGUAAAUAAAAUGUGCUGUUAAAAUGAUUAUUUAACCAUUGUUUUCACUUUGUUAUAUAGAUUUGCACCUGUUUCAACAACAUUAACUUAUUUUUAUGCUCCCGGUAGGUUCUCAUAUAGCAGUUGAACUGUCCGUCUGUCUGUCUAUCUGUCCGAAAACUUUAGCAUUGGUCAUAACUUUUGCAAUAUUGAAGAAAGCAACUUGAUAUUUAGCAUGCAUGUGUAUCUCAUUGAGCUGCACAUUUUGAGUGGUGCAAGGUCAAGGUCAUCCUUCAAGGUCAGAGGUCAAAAUCCAAUGGAAGUAAUAAGCAAAGAGAGAUAAUUUCUAUACCUGCCAAAUGAUAAAUAGAAAUUUUAUUUAAAAGCGGCGCAGUAGGGGGCAUUGUGUUUCUGACAAACACAUCUCUUGUUUGUAUUUAUUCCAUACAAUCUUACUUUUUUCAGUUCUUUCUUUGUGUUCAAUGUUAUGUUAUAACACUAUUAUAUUUUAUUAUAACAAUGCCAUGUCUGUCAAAAUAGUUUUAUCAUGCUGUGUAUAUGGAUAUAUAUGUAAAGUUUUAUGUUUUGUCGUUUAAAAAAGUAAUUAGAAUUUAAUUUAUGAUAUUUUUGUUCUUAUCAUAAAAAAGUUUUUCAGUUUUCAAGUGGGUGAAAAGUGGGUUUUUACUGAGCAUUUAACAGGUUUAAAAGCUAGUUUUAACUGCGUUUAAUCUGUGAAAAGCACACAUUUAGCUCAUUUAAUGCUCAAAUAAAACCCCACUUUAAACUCGCUUUAGAACAGGAAAAACCGGCUUGAUGUGUAGA